AACGAACGCUGGCGGCAUGCCUAACACAUGCAAGUCGAACGAGACCUUCGGGUCUAGUGGCGCACGGGUGCGUAACGCGUGGGAACCUGCCCUUAGGCUCGGAAUAACUCCCCGAAAGGGGUGCUAAUACCGGAUAAUGUCUUCGGACCAAAGAUUUAUCGCGUUUGUAUGGGCCCGCGUUGGAUUAGCUAGUUGGUAGGGUAAAAGCCUACCAAGGCGACGAUCCAUAGCUGGUCUGAGAGGAUGAUCAGCCACACUGGGGCUGAGACACGGCCCAGACUCCUACGGGAGGCAGCAGUGGGGAAUAUUGGACAAUGGGCGAAAGCCUGAUCCAGCAAUGCCGCGUGAGUGAUGAAGGCCUUAGGGUUGUAAAGCUCUUUUACCCGGGAUGAUAAUGACAGUACCGAGAGAAUAAGCUCCGGCUAACUCCGUG
rnacentral:rRNA from 1 species